CAGCAGUGGGGAAUAUUGCACAAUGGGGGAAACCCUGAUGCAGCGACGCCGCGUGGAGGAAGAAGGUCUUCGGAUUGUAAACUCCUGUUGUUGGGGAAGAUAAUGACGGUACCCAACAAGGAAGUGACGGCUAACUACGUGCCAGCAGCCGCGGUAAAACGUAGGUCACAAGCGUUGUCCGGAAUUACUGGGUGUAAAGGGAGCGCAGGCGGGAAGACAAGUUGGAAGUGAAAUCUAUGGGCUCAACCCAUAAACUGCUUUCAAAACUGUUUUUCUUGAGUAGUGCAGAGGUAGGCGGAAUUCCCGGUGUAGCGGUGGAAUGCGUAGAUAUCGGGAGGAACACCAGUGGCGAAGGCGGCCUACUGGGCACCAACUGACGCUGAGGCUCGAAAGUGUGGGUAGCAAACAGGAUUAGAUACCCUGGUAGUCCACACCGUAAACGAUGAUUACUAGGUGUUGGAGGAUUGACCCCUUCAGUGCCGCAGUUAACACAAUAAGUAAUCCACCUGGGGAGUACGACCGCAAGGUUGAAACUCAAAGGAAUUGACGGGGGCCCGCACAAGCAGUGGAGUAUGUGGUUUAAUUCGACGCAACGCGAAGAACCUUACCAAGUCUUGACAUCCCUUGACGAACAUAGAAAUAUGUUUUCUCUUCGGAGCAAGGAGACAGGUGGUGCAUGGUUGUCGUCAGCUCGUGUCGUGAGAUGUUGGGUUAAGUCCCGCAACGAGCGCAACCCUUAUGGUCAGUUACUACGCAAGAGGACUCUGGCCAGACUGCCGUUGACAAAACGGAGGAAGGUGGGGAUGACGUCAAAUCAUCAUGCCCUUUAUGACUUGGGCUACACACGUACUACAAUGGCGUUAAACAAAGAGAAGCAAGACCGCGAGGUGGAGCAAAACUCAGAAACAACGUCCCAGUUCGGACUGCAGGCUGCAACUCGCCUGCACGAAGUCGGAAUUGCUAGUAAUCGUGGAUCAGCAUGCCACGGUGAAUACGUUCCCGGGCCUUGUACACACCGCCCGUCACACCAUGAGAGCCGGGGGGACCCGAAGUCGGUAGUCUAACCGCAAGGAGGACGCCGCCGAAGGUAAAACUGGUGAUUGGGGUGAAGUCGUAACAAGGUAGCCGUAGGAGAACCUGCGGCUG
rnacentral:rRNA from 1 species